GUCAAUGUGGUACCAGAAAUCUUGGCUAAGAAAGGACAAGACAAAGUCAACGGGAGUUAGCUCGAAAAUUACGGUUUAGUAAAGAUAGAACGUUGAAUCAGCAUCCCAGUUCGAUCCCGAAUUCAUUAAGGUAAAGUGUGUUAAUUAUUGGUAAUGGCAUGUACCUAGGACGUUUUAUGAGAGUCAUUUAGGUUGUAGAUAUACUCAUGAAAUGAGUAAAUUAUGGUUGGCAACGGUAUGUAGUAUGAAUUUGAAAUUUACUAAAAAUUCGUAGUGAUUCUAAAUUAGUCCCGAAUUGAAUUUACUGUUCAUAUUGGACCGCGAGGGCCCAUUAAAGGGACGACAUCUUAAAACUAGGAUGUGUGUAAAUAUUUAUUUUAAUUAAUGACCGAAAUUGGACUGUACUGACUGGUAAUGUCUCGUAAUCCUGUUCCGAUGACGGUAUAGGGUUAGGGGGCGUUACAGAACUACUUUUUGUGCUCAUAAUAUGAAACUAAGCAACAUGCAUUGAAUAACA